ensembl:lncRNA
AUAAGUUCCCGGAUUUGCAGUGUCUGUCUCCAAAAGCAGUGAAAGAACAGGCCAAAAGGAAAAGACCACAGAAGAAGCCUGAAGAACUGAAGGACAACCCGGUGCCUGCUGUUACAAACAGAUUAAGCCAAAGACCGCAGCGAGCUGUGGCCAAAGCUACAAAAAGCUACAAAGACCCAUCUGAUAUCUCUAGCCAAUCAGAGGUGGAGGAAUCUCCAGCCUUGAAGACCAAAUUGAAGAGGGCAGUCGUACAAACAGAAGAGAGUGAGAAAUCUUCUCUGGAACAGGACAUAAAGAAGAAAAAGAUUUCUCACAUGCAGGAAACUAGAGAAAAGCACGCAGGAUCUUGGGUUGCCAAAGUGGCAUCUUUGUGCCCCAGCCCGUCCCCUGUUGAGAUAAUGAGAUCUUCAGAGAAGUCUACACAUUCACCUGCAUCACCUACUACACCUCUCCGGCAGCUCUCCCUCUCGCCUGUUGGGGCUCCGGCUGUGAAAAUGCGUAGAAGCUUUAAGGGAAUCAGGGCCUCUUCUUUCUAUCGGCCAUGUGUUGGUAAAAACAGCUUUAAUGCCACCCCAUUGGCCUCUUUAACCAUAGACGACAAGAUGACUGUAACCGCCUCCAAGCAACCACAGCACAGUCUUGCUGAGGUCCUGCAUGACCAGCCCCUGCUCACCUCUACGGCUAUAGAGAGGUCUCUGGAUGCCCUCUCACACAAGUCUUCUGACCUGAGGUUGGAGCUGAUAGACCCUGAGGCUGUGCAAUGCGACCAAAGGACCUGGUCUGACGGGGAGUCUCCAAUUGCCGCACGGACCGUGCGCCAGUCAUCGCCUGGAAAAGUGAAGCCUCUGCAUGAACAUGAGAGAACACCAUCCUCCAACAGAGACUGCCAGUCUGCAUUGUGGGAAUUUCAGUCAGGCCCUGGCUUCAGCUGGAAGCGGAAGAUUUCAUGCAGCAGCAGCAGCUCACAUUCUGACUGCGAGGAGAAGGAGAAUAUUACACCUAAAGAGCACAUCAUCAAAAUGAAGCCAAGGAAGCUGUUCAGGGCUGAUAAGAGUGAAAUGGAAAAAGAGAAAAAUACUGGGUCAAAGCAGGCAGAUUGUGAUGAGGCCGAAGAAGAUGAGAGGAAUCUGAAUGAGUUUAAGUUAAAGGCAGGUGAGGGCAUAAAUAAGAAAAUAGCACGACAAAGACUGACCAGGACGUCCCAUCACAGAAGACAAGAUGAGGACACCUGCAAGAAAGUAGUUGAGACAGUAGAGAGAGAGUCCAUCAUGUCCCACACAGGAUCCAGCAGUUGCAAGGCCACUGUAGAGGCUGAGGUGGACCCGUCUCACCCAGAGAUCAGCUCAACGCAAGAGAUGGGCAACAUCUGCCGCGAGUUCGGUGCUGAGCUCAGCAGGAAGUUUCAGGUCCAUUUUUACACCUCUUCUGCCCUCAUGCAGUUAUAAAUACACUCUGAGAGUAUAAAAAUACACUGGUUAAAUCAUGUUACUUGUGGGGUAGGUCUGUUGAUAAUUACAUUCAUGAAUGAGGCUAGUUCAGAGAGAGGCCAUGCCACCAUAAAUGAGUUGAAGAUCUCUUUUGACUUCUGGUCUUUGCUUUUGCUCACUUUCUGGUUGUGAUGCCUCUGUCCAUGCAAACGUGAUUAUUUUUUAUAAUGCACAGUGUUCUCUGCUAUUUAUGAAACACAAAAAGAAUACACAUUUUUAAUUAAUUAGUUGAUUAGUUAACCCAUAGACUUCACCAUGUGAUGAAAUGUUUACGUGCAUGCCGUUUAUAUGCAUGCUUGCCUGCUUUAUUUGUUUUGUCCAUGUUCUCUUCUGUGAAUUAUUUACAUCCUGCACUUCAUUAGAUAAAUGUUGAGAUCGCCUGUCUUUUUGUUUCAUUUCCUGUUCAUUGUAUUUGUAUUUUACAUCAGUUACACUUCGCAAAAGUAGAAAUAAUUCAUCAGUGUAUGGUCAUUUCUCAGAAACGCUCUGAAAGGAUGGAGCUUUUCACCAGGCAUUCUGUGAAGGCAGUCCAGCAGCAUGUGUCCUCCAUUGGAAUACAGAUACACCAGCACAGGUCAGUGUCCAGCCCUGCUGCUUCUGCACAGUGACGGCUGAUAGUAAGGUCUCUUUUCUCGCAGGGCUCAGAAGCUGGAACAUGUCAAACAGGUUCUGACAGAGGAACUUAGCAACUUGGAACAAGAUGACUUUAUCCUCCAGAAUAUGGAGAAAGAGCUGAUGGUAAAUACUCACUAAUACUGGUACGAUAAAGAGCGAGACUGCAGUAAGACGAGUUGUACCACGGUGAGGAAUCUGACCAUGUGUUUCUGGUAGAACUACUGGAAAAAGCAGGAGGUGGCCUUUCACUCAUACCACGAGGCAGAAGCCAGAAGGUGAGUGUGAUGGAAGCAACUCACCUAUAAGGCCUCCGUAGAAACUUGUGAACUUAUUAGACAUGUAA